AACGAACGCUGGCAGCAUGCCUAACACAUGCAAGUCGAACGAGACCUUCGGGUCUGGUGGCGCACGGGUGCGUAACGCGUGGGAAUCUGCCCUUGGGUUCGGAAUAACAGUUGGAAACGACUGCUAAUACCGGAUGAUGACGUAAGUCCAAAGAUUUAUCGCCCAAGGAUGAGCCCGCGUAGGAUUAGCUAGUUGGUGAGGUAAAGGCUCACCAAGGCGACGAUCCUUAGCUGGUCUGAGAGGAUGAUCAGCCCCACUGGGACUGAGACACGGCCCAGACUCCUACGGAAGGCAGCAGUGGGGAAUAUUGGACAAUGGGCGAAAGCCUGAUCCAGCAAUGCCGCGUGAGUGAUGAAGGCCUUAGGGUUGUAAAGCUCUUUUACCCGGGAUGAUAAUGACAGUACCGGGAGAAUAAGCUCCGGCGAACUCCGU
rnacentral:rRNA from 1 species